rnacentral:rRNA from 1 species
GUUAAGCGACUAAGCGUACACGGUGGAUGCCCUGGCAGUCAGAGGCGAUGAAGGACGUGCUAAUCUGCGAUAAGCGUCGGUAAGGUGAUAUGAACCGUUAUAACCGGCGAUUUCCGAAUGGGGAAACCCAGUGUGUUUCGACACACUAUCAUUAACUGAAUCCAUAGGUUAAUGAGGCGAACCGGGGGAACUGAAACAUCUAAGUACCCCGAGGAAAAGAAAUCAACCGAGAUUCCCCCAGUAGCGGCGAGCGAACGGGGAGCAGCCCAGAGCCUGAAUCAGUGUGUGUGUUAGUGGAAGCGUCUGGAAAGGCGCGCGAUACAGGGUGACAGCCCCGUACACAAAAAUGCACAUGCUGUGAGCUCGAUGAGUAGGGCGGGACACGUGGUAUCCUGUCUGAAUAUGGGGGGACCAUCCUCCAAGGCUAAAUACUCCUGACUGACCGAUAGUGAACCAGUACCGUGAGGGAAAGGCGAAAAGAACCCCGGCGAGGGGAGUGAAAAAGAACCUGAAACCGUGUACGUACAAGCAGUGGGAGCACGCUUAGGCGUGUGACUGCGUACCUUUUGUAUAAUGGGUCAGCGACUUAUAUUCUGUAGCAAGGUUAACCGAAUAGGGGAGCCGAAGGGAAACCGAGUCUUAACUGGGCGUUAAGUUGCAGGGUAUAGACCCGAAACCCGGUGAUCUAGCCAUGGGCAGGUUGAAGGUUGGGUAACACUAACUGGAGGACCGAACCGACUAAUGUUGAAAAAUUAGCGGAUGACUUGUGGCUGGGGGUGAAAGGCCAAUCAAACCGGGAGAUAGCUGGUUCUCCCCGAAAGCUAUUUAGGUAGCGCCUCGUGAAUUCAUCUCCGGGGGUAGAGCACUGUUUCGGCAAGGGGGUCAUCCCGACUUACCAACCCGAUGCAAACUGCGAAUACCGGAGAAUGUUAUCACGGGAGACACACGGCGGGUGCUAACGUCCGUCGUGAAGAGGGAAACAACCCAGACCGCCAGCUAAGGUCCCAAAGUCAUGGUUAAGUGGGAAACGAUGUGGGAAGGCCCAGACAGCCAGGAUGUUGGCUUAGAAGCAGCCAUCAUUUAAAGAAAGCGUAAUAGCUCACUGGUCGAGUCGGCCUGCGCGGAAGAUGUAACGGGGCUAAACCAUGCACCGAAGCUGCGGCAGCGACACUAUGUGUUGUUGGGUAGGGGAGCGUUCUGUAAGCCUGCGAAGGUGUGCUGUGAGG